ACGAACGCUGGCGGCGUGCCUCAAACAUGCAAGUCGAGCGGGGUUCUGGAAGUGGGCGACCACGGAAGGGACCUAGCGGCGGACGGGUGAGUAACGCGUGGGUAAUCUGCCCAAGGGACCGGGAUAACACCUCGAAAGGGGUGCUAAUACCGGGUGACCCUGGUGCUCCGAGUGGGGGACCAGGGAUAGGUGGCCUCUUGACAAUGCUACUGCCCCUUGGAUGAGCCCGCGUCCCAUUAGCUAGUUGGCGGGGUAAAGGCCCACCAAGGC
rnacentral:rRNA from 1 species